rnacentral:rRNA from 1 species
AUUGAACGCUGGCGGUAGGCCUAACACAUGCAAGUCGAACGGUAGCACAGUAAGAGUUUGCUCUUACGUGUGGCGAGUGGCGCAGGGGUGAGAAAUACAUCGGAAUCUACUUUUUCGUGGGGUAUAACGUAGGGAAACUAACGCUAAUACCGCAUACUACCUACGGGUGAAAGCAGGAGAUCUUCGGACCUUGCGCUAUUGAGUGAGCCGAUGUCGGAUUAGCUAGUUGGCGGGGUAAAGGCCCACCAAGGCGACGAUCCGUAGCUGGUCUGAGAGGAUGAUCAGCCACACUGGAACUGAGACACGGUCCAGACUCCUACGGGAGGCAGCAGUGGGGAAUAUUGCACAAUGGGCGCAAGCCUGAUCCAGCCAUGCCGCGUGGGUGAAGAAGGCCUUCGGGUUGUAAAGCACUUUUGUUGGGAAAGAAAAGCAGAAGGUUAAUACCUCGCUGUUUUGACGGUACCCAAAGAAUAAGCACCGGCUAACUUCGUG